CCCAUAAAUGUGCAGGGUUUGCUUGGAAUCAAGGUUAAGGUCAUGCUUGACUGGGACUCUAUUAGGAAGCUAGGACCAAUGACACCAUUACCAGAUGUUGUUAUCAUCCAUACUCCCAAAUGAAAAGAUGUUAAUUCCGCACCUGAUCAGGUUGUUAAUUUUGCUGCUCUUCUAUUGGAAGCUCCCCUCACCCUCACAGCCGUAGAUUACCCUGAGAUGAUCUCAGUCGUCUAGAAGAGAUGGCCAGGAAAGCCUCAUGUUCUUCAUAAAAGUAACCUUUCUAAUGGAGAGAACUUACUCUAUAUGUUGGAUUCAAUGUACAUCACUCUCUCUCUCUCUCUCUCUUCUCUCUUUGAUUUUAUAAUGUUACUUUUAGUCAUUUUCUUUCCGUUUCUAGCUUUAAACGUGUCGGUAACGUGAUAUAUAUUCCUCUCAUCUUCUAUUAUAGAGAGAGGUAGGUGAGACCUUUAUAGAUGUUAUGAAAGUAUUUAUGUGUGUUGGUUUAUACAUUUUUGCAGAUUGUCAUCACUCUUGAGAUAUAUGCUGAGAAGAGUGCUAAUGGAUGGGCGAGUCUGAUGGUGAGGGCCACUGAGUUGAGCAUUCCAGCAAAGCGGAAAACUCCUCCCUUGGUAUCUAUUUGCGCAAAGCAAGUGGAAAGAGUCACAAAAGUUGCUCAAAACCAGGAGAUUAUAAAGUCACAAGUGGUGGUUAGAGUUUAUUUUUUUCUUUUUACAGUUGUGAUCUGUGGGAUCAUUAUGAUUCACCCUGCUGGGCUGAGGGAGAAGCUAUCUUCAGACAUGUGAUUUGUUAUCUCUUAAAUUUAGCCAUUAUAGAGAGGUAGGGUGAGACCUUUACAGAUGUUAUGAAAGUAUUUAUGAUUGUUGUUUUAUACAUUUUGCAGAUUGUCAUCACUCUUGAGAUAUAUGUUAUUGAGUAUAUUGUUUGGAUUCCUUGGUUAUGGUGGGUUCAAAGCAUGAUGGUUAAGAUUAUAUAGUUAGAAUUUCAAUCAAAUUUUCAUUCAUGAAACAGUUUAAAAAAAUAUAACAUUUAAAAAUAAACGGAAUGUUAAUUUCUAGAAAUUUAGCAAAGACACAAACUGUAAAGAAAGUCAUGUGCUAUAAUUUAAACCUGAUGGUUUAUGAGAUAUUUCGAAUUUCAUCCGUUUGACAAAAGAAAAUCUGAUACUCAUAUUAAUAUGAGAAAUACUUAUCACAUCAUCAUAUUUUCAGGUGGUUUUAUGAUAAAACAUAGUCAUCUUGAAGUUAUUUAGUUUGUUACGUGCUGAUGUAGUGUGCCUAUUGUUGACCAGAAUUGGGAGAAAACCAUGGAUUGUCGUAGUCCAGGUUUAAGGUAUACCGUUUGAUGCCAGCUGGCUUCAAGGUGCUAAAUGUUCCUCUUAAAGGUGAUGAUUCACUGACCAAGUAACUUUUCGAUCCUGAUUUUUGAGAAGCAAUUUGACGUGUGAGAUCUAUUGAUUCUGGUGAGAGAAGCUUAAAUAUGUUUUAUCAUAUAAGUUAUAACCAUGUGGAAAAAGAUAUACAGAUUUGUUAUGGUAUUAUUUUAACUUAAUUCACUUUUUAUUUGUUUUGGAAUUAUGGGGUUAUAAUUGAUUACAAAAAUGAGAUGCAGUACAAACUUUAUAAAUUAAUACUCGAUAAAUUAAUAAAUACCAUAAAUUAAUUAAAAAUAUUAUGUGCGGUUCAAAAUUUUAACACAAAUCAAUAAAAUAAUAAGAUAAUAAAAUUUCAGAAAAUCCUAUGUCAAUAUAUGGUCUCCGUAUAAAUUAAUAAUUUAUAUGUAUAUACAUUUUAUAUAAGUACAAACCAAUCAUUAUAUUGUUUGUUUUAUAUUCACAAUGGAAUUAUCUUUAUAUUUUCUUAACAUUUAAUAUAUUUUGAUGAGAUUUAGUAAAAUUAUAUCUUAAACACAUUUAAAUUCUGUGAAACAUAUUUUAUAUACACCAAAUAACAUAAUAAAACUAAUAUAGAUGUAAAAUUUCAAAAUAUUAAUUAAUGUACAUACAUUAAAUCAAAUAUUUUUCUUAGUUUAGGAAAAAUAUAUCUUAAAAUUGAAAAAAUUUAAAAGGAACUUUUUUGUAAAUUGAUAACUAUGUAAAUUACUAAAAUACCAAAAUCCCAACAUUGUUAAUUUAUAAAGUUUUUACUAUAAAAUGCACAAAUGUGUCUAUAUAGGAAAGAGUUGAUGUGCACACUAGAAUAAAGAACCGAUGUGCAGAGCAAGCAUAACAUCAACCCAUAAUAAACCUUAGAUCUUCUCAGCUCGGGUAAUAGUUUUGGGACUCUCGAAACAUCAAGAAGAACGGUGAAUUCAUGGGAAUCACUUUACUUCUCUUCAUCUUAUUAGGCUAAGAAGAUCAUAUAUUCCCAUCUCUGUUUCAUUUUUGAAAAAGCCAUAUUAUUUAACUCUUCUAGCUUUCAACGUAGGAUACGGUGAUCCGGCGGCUGAGCCACGUCCCGGUGGUGCUCGCGAUCCCACCAGAAUUGCAGACCUGAGAGUUGUUGGUGUUGGAGAAGAGAAGUGUCGCUAACCUCUUCGUAAGGCCAUAGCUCUCUAGGAUCGUUGGAGGAGUUGUGGGAAUCAACAGAUCUGCUCAGUAAUAGGUGUGAUAUUACAGUUCGUGCAUUGUAUUAGCUAUUUUGUUACUGAUUAAUAGUUUUGGGUUUUGGUUGUAUCAUACUUGAAUCAUGCUUAUUUGACUUUGAAUUCAGAUUGUUGUUAAUGUUAGCCAGCUCCCUAUUAUUUUUCAUCUUCUAUCUUUUUAUAUUAAAACUGGCCGUCCUUUUAAGAUUAUACAUGUAAAGAUGUAAAACUUUUUAUUAAGUUAUAACUAUUUCAUGAAAUUGGUUUAUUUUUAUUUUGCUUUUAAACACCAUAUAGCUCUCUUGCUAGAGUGCUCUUCUCAUUUCUGCAUAUUACCUUUCUGCUCACAAUGUUUUCUGGCUCAUUUUCUUCCAUUGCAUUAAUUUAAUUUUGUCUUAACUGAACCUUAUGCAGUAUAAGGUGUCGGUUGUUUAUGUGAUCUGUGGAGCAUUGUGUUGCAGAGAGAGAGCUUCUCCGAAUGGUGAGGCUGCAGCAGAAAGCAGUGACGUUGAGAAAAAAGCAUAAUUGAUGUGGCUUCAACUUUGGAACCUGAGGAAGCAGACAAUGGAGUAGGCUACAGUACUCUGGUCAACCAACAAAGGAGUAUAUCGACUAUGCAGUUAAAAAUGUUCUGUUAUACAUGUGAUAGUUUCUUCUUCCGAGUUCCUCAUUCUCUUCUUAAUGGUUUAAGUACAAUAAAAAUAUCUGAAGCGAUUGUGAUUAAACCCCAUAAAUGUGCAGGGUUUGCUUGGAAUCAAGGUUAAGGUCAUGCUUGACUGGGACUCUAUUAGGAAGCUAGGACCAAUGACACCAUUACCAGAUGUUGUUAUCAUCCAUACUCCCAAAUGAAAAGAUGUUAAUUCCGCACCUGAUCAGGUUGUUAAUUUUGCUGCUCUUCUAUUGGAAGCUCCCCUCACCCUCACAGCCGUAGAUUACCCUGAGAUGAUCUCAGUCGUCUAGAAGAGAUGGCCAGGAAAGCCUCAUGUUCUUCAUAAAAGUAACCUU
rnacentral:lncRNA from 1 species